AGAGGCCAAACCGAAGGACCUGGUUCUUCGGGGUUGUGGACUGCAUCAAGCGAUGGAGGCUAUGGUAGUCGAACUGUUUUGGGAAAGCAGACCAAAGACGGUGAAAGUCCGGUAGACGAAACCAGAAGACCCGCUGCAGGAUCCAGAGUACCACGGGACACGAGAAACCCUGUGGGAAGCCGGGGGGACCACCCCCCAAGCCUAAAUACUCCCCAGUGACCGAUAGUGAAGCAGUACUGUGAAGGAAAGGUGAAAAGAACCCCGGGAGGGGAGUGAAAAAGAACCUGAAACCUUGUGCUUACAAACAGUCAGAGGUCUUCGGACUGAUGGCGUACUUUUUGUAGAACGGUCCGGCGAGUUACUAAUGCCAGCGAGGUUAAGUGGUCAGAAGCCACGGAGCCGAAGGGAAACCAAGUCUGAAUAGGGCGUAAAGUUAGUAUUAGUAGACCCGAAACCGGGUGACCUAUCCAUGUCCAGGUUGAAGGAGCCGUAAAAGGCUUUGGAGGACCGAACACACAUCUGUUGAAAAAGGUGGUGAUGAGGUGUGGAUAGCGGAGAAAUUCCAAUCGAACUCGGAGAUAGCUGGUUCUCCUCGAAAUAGCUUUAGGGCUAGCCUCGAGAUGGAGUCUAACGGAGGUAAAGCACUGAACUGACGCGGGGCCCAAAAAGGUUACCAACUCAUAUCAAACUAAGAAUGCCGUCAAGAUACCCUCGGGAGUCAGUCUGCGUGAGAUAAGUCGCGUGGACAAAAGGGAAAGAGCCCAGACCGACAGCUAAGGUCCCAAAGUACGUGUUAAGUGGAAAAGGAUGUGGGAUUUCAUAGACAACUAGGAUGUUGGCUUAGAAGCAGCCAUACAUUUAAAGAGUGCGUAACAGCUCACUAGUCGAGAAAACCUGCGCCGAAAAUUUAACGGGGCUAAAACACGACACCGAAGCUACGGAUUUCCUACUAGGUAGGAAGUGGUAGAGGAGCAUCCUGCAAGGACGAAGCCAAAGUGAGAACGAUGGUGGACGAAACAGGAGAGAGAAUGCCGGAAUGAGUAGCGAGAUAGAAGUAAGAAACUUCUAGGCCGAAUAUCUAAGGUUUCCUGGGUAAAGCUAAUCUUCCCAGGGUUAGUCGGGGCCUAAGGCGAGGACGAAAGUCGUAGUCGAUGGAUAACAGGUUGAUAUUCCUGUACUACGUAUCAUCAGAACUGUGGGGACGCAGGAGGAUAGGAAAACCGGGGAAUGGAAAAACCCGGCCAAGUACAAAGUCAAGGGAGAUAGGCAAAUCCGUCUCUUGAUGAUGAAGUGCGAUGGGGACUGAACAAAAGUAGGGAAGUUUCCGAAUCCACACUGUCGAGAAAAGCCGCUAUUGUGUGAUACGUACCCGUACCGUAAACCGACACAGGUAGAUGAGGAGAAAAUCCACAGGCCGACGGGAGAAGUGUUGUUAAGGAACUCGGCAAAAUGACCCCGUAACUUAGGGAGAAGGGGAGCCACGCAAGUGGCCGCAGAAAAGAGGCUCAAGCGACUGUUUAGCAAAAACACAGGUCUCUGCGAAACCGAAAGGUGAAGUAUAGGGGCUGACACCUGCCCGGUGCUGGAAGGUUAAAAGGAGAGGUUCGACGUAAGUCAAAGCUUUGAAUUCAAGCCCCAGUAAACGGCGGCCGUAACUAUAACGGUCCUAAGGUAGCGAAAUUCCUUGUCAGGUAAGUUCUGACCCGCACGAAAGGUGUAACGAUUUGAGCACUGUCUCGACAACACGCCCGGUGAAAUUGAAGAACCAGUGAAGAUACUGGUUACCCGCAACAGGACGGAAAGACCCCAUGGAGCUUUACUGCAGCCUGAUACUGGGAUUCGAUGAUAUAUGUACAGGAUAGGAGGGAGACUAGGAAUCCGGGACGCCAGUUUCGGAGGAGUCGACGGUGGGAUACCUCUCUUAUGUUAUUGGAUUUCUAACUUGGCACCGUGAUCCGGUGUGAGGACAAUGUCAGGCGGGCAGUUUGACUGGGGCGGUCGCCUCCUAAAAGGU
rnacentral:rRNA from 1 species